rnacentral:rRNA from 1 species
GCUUAUACAUGCAAGUCGAGCGCCUGUAGCAAUACAGGAGCGGCAGACGGGAGAGUAACACGUGGGAACGUGCCCUUUGGUUCGGAACAACACAGGGAAACUUGUGCUAAUACCGGAUAAGCCCUUACGGGGAAAGAUUUAUCGCCAAAGGAUCGGCCCGCGUCUGAUUAGCUAGUUGGUGGGGUAAUGGCCCACCAAGGCGACGAUCAGUAGCUGGUCUGAGAGGAUGAUCAGCCUCAUUGGGACUGAGACACGGCCCAAACUCCUACGGGAGGCAGCAGUAGGGAAUAUUGGACAAUGGGCGCAAGCCUGAUCCAGCCAUGCCGCGUGAGUGAUGAAGGCCUUAGGGUUGUAAAGCUCUUUCGGCGGGGAAGAUAAUGACGGUACCCGCAUAAGAAGCCCCGGCUAACUUCGUGCCAGCAGCCGCGGUAAUACGAAGGGGGCUAGCGUUGCUCGGAAUCACUGGGCGUAAAGCGCACGUAGGCGGACUCUUAAGUCAGGGGUGAAAUCCUGGAGCUCAACUCCAGAACUGCCUUUGAUACUGGGAGCCUUGAGUUCGGGAGAGGUGAGUGGAACUGCGAGUGUAGAGGUGAAAUUCGUAGAUAUUCGCAAGAACACCAGUGGCGAAGGCGGCUCACUGGCCCGAUACUGACGCUGAGGUGCGAAAGCGUGGGGAGCAAACAGGAUUAGAUACCCUGGUAGUCCACGCUGUAAACGAUGGAUGCUAGCCGUUGGCGGGUUUACUCGUCAGUGGCGCAGCUAACGCAUUAAGCAUCCCGCCUGGGGAGUACGGUCGCAAGAUUA